GUAUCUCUCUUGUUCACCUUGCUGACUUAGGCAUCGGAGCACCUGCAGGUACAAACCCCCCCUUCGGUGUGGAAGCUUGCUCAACGGACCGGCCUUCGAACCUAUUCUGAUCACCAGGUACGAUCAUCUUUAAAACAAACAAUUCAUUUAAUUUUCACUUCAAUGAUGAACUUUAUAAGAACUCAAAAUAGGUUCCUCAUUUUAAGUCACUCCAGUCAGGGAAUACUAAAUGCACACAUUGCCAAUCUUAAUUAUUCGAUGAACCGGUUCAAACUAUUGGAUGCACCGGUUCAGAGUUAUAGAUCCAAAUCAGUCUAUACUUCAAGAUGCAUGAAUUAGAUCAACAUAUAGAAUGCACUGAUUCAUGGUUAUAGAUUCGGCUUGGUCUAUACUUGAAAAUGCAUGAAUCGGUUCAACAUAUAGAAUGAUAAAAAAAAUCCUUACAUGUUGAGUAAUUACCUUCUGAAAAAUUUUAAGUUGUUGCAUGUAAGAUAAAAAAAAUUUAACUCCUUUUUAGUGUGUUAAUUCAUUUUUCCAAGCAUUGUUGUUGCUCAGAUAUGAAAUUCUGAUUAUGAUUAAUUCAACGUGG
rnacentral:lncRNA from 1 species